GUGGAUUAGAUACCCUGGUAGUCCACGCCGUAAACGAUGAUCGCUCGCUGUUGGCGAUAUACAGUCAGCGGCUAAGCAAAAGCAUUAAGUGAUCCACCUGGGGAGUACGGCCGCAAGGCUGAAACUCAAAGGAAUUGACGGGGGCCCGCACAAGCGGAGGAACAUGUGGUUUAAUUCGAUGAUACGCGAGGAACCUUACCUGGGCUUAAAUGUAGAGUGCAUUUCGCUGAAAGGCGGAUUCCCUUCGGGGCUCUCUGCAAGGUGCUGCACGGUUGUCGUCAACU
rnacentral:rRNA from 1 species